GAGCACGUAGGCGGGUCUGUAAGUCGGAUGUGAAAGCCCUCGGCUCAACCGAGGAAGUGCAUCCGAAACUGCCGCUCUUGAGGGCAGGAGGGGAGAGUGGAACUCUUGGUGGAGCGGUGAAAUGCGUAGAUAUCAGGGGGAACGCCGGCGGCGAAAGCGACUCUCUGGCUUGUUACUGACGCUGAGGUGCGAAAGCCAGGGGAGCGAACGGGAUUAGAUACCCCGGUAGUCCUGGCCGUAAACGAUGGGCACUAAGUAGUGGGGUUU
rnacentral:rRNA from 1 species